rnacentral:lncRNA from 1 species
AUGGAUGAAUUCCGAGGUGUGGAAAAGUGGAGUAGUGACUUUGUGGUCCCCGAUUGGUACAAGAGUCAGAUGGUUAAUCUUGUCAGUAAGGGCAAAGUUCGGAUUGAGCUUAUGGUAACAGGGGGGCAAGAGUGUUACUGUAACACUUGGAACAAAAAUCUUGGCUGGUCUGUCUAUUCAAACCAGUACUCGAGAGAAGGGACUCAAAGCGCUGUUGGUAUGUGCCGCUUUAUCCUUCCUUCCAAAGGAACAUUGAACGAAGGGCUCAUCUAUAGAAAGCAAGCUAUAGCUAUGGGAAUAAGUCAUGUCCUAAGCCUAAGGUUUUGGGCACCGUAG